AUUGAACGCUGGCGGCAGGCCUAACACAUGCAAGUCGAGCGGAGCGUCGGACGGGUGAGUACUGCCUAGGAAUCUGCCUGGUAGUGGCGGAUAACGUCCGGAAACGGGAGAUAAUACCGCAUACGUGCAGAUGAGCCUAGGUCGGAUUAGCUAGUUGGUGGGGUAAAGGCCUACCAAGUUGACGAUCUCUAGCUGGUCUGAGAGGAUGAUCAGCCACACUGGGACUGAGACACGGCCCAGACUCCUACGGGAGGCAGCAGUGGGGAAUAUUGCACAAUGGGCGCAAGCCUGAUGCAGCCAUGCCACGUGUAUGAAGAAGGCCUUAGGGUUGUAAAGUACUUUCAGCGGGGAGGCGUUACCCGCAGAAGAAGCACCGGCUAACUCCGUGCCAGCCGCCGCGGUAAUUC
rnacentral:rRNA from 1 species